GACGAACGCUGGCGGCGUGCCUAAUACAUGCAAGUCGAGCGAGCGGGGACGGGUGAGUAACACGUGGGUAACCUCCCAUCAGAGGGGAUAACACUUGGAAACAGGUGCUAAACCGAUACUGAUGGAUGGACCCGCGGUGCAUUAGCUAGUUGGUGAGGUAACGGCUCACCAAGGCCACGAUGCAUAGCCGACCUGUGAGUGUGAUUGGCCACACUGGGACUGAGACACGGCCCAGACUCCUACGGGAGGCAGCAGUAGGGAAUCUUCGGAAAUGGACGAAAGUCUGACCGAGCAACGCCGCGUGAGUGAAGAAGGUUUUCGGAUCGUAAAACUCUGUUGUUAGAGAAGCGGUAUCUAACCAGAAAGCCACGGCUAACUACGUGCCAGCAGCCGCGGUAAUAC
rnacentral:rRNA from 1 species